GCGCCUUUAGCUCAGCCAGGCAGAGCAGCUGACUCUUAAUCAGCGGGUCGUAGGUUCGAUUCCUACAAGGCGCA
rnacentral:tRNA from 1 species